rnacentral:lncRNA from 1 species
UUGCCCAUUUCUUAUGUGUUUAAAGACUAAUUAUAAGAAUAAAGAUUUAGUGAUCAAUGCAGAAUUCUAAUUUAAUUGUUGAGUAUUAGAAUGCAUUUUCUCCCCCUCUUCUAACUUAGAAACUGAAUUUUUUUUUUUUUUCAUUUUUUUCCUACCUGGCAAAAGCUAAUUUAAUCCAACUGGAUUGCACAUUCGAAAUGUACAGAAUUUUGGUCCGAUUUACCGAGUAUCACUCCCUGGAUAUAGCUCAAUUUUCCCUCACAGGACUGACAGAUGCCUAAAUGCAAGAGAUUGUUCUUGUCAAGGGAGGCACUGACACAAAUUCAGUUGUGUGGGUUGUUGGCUCUGUCUGAUGUUGUCCCUUCUAAUGCUACAGAACAAAUCACCUUGCACAAGGAUCUGGGAAUCUCAUUGCUGCUCUCUUUGUUCGGGCCCAGAGGUUCCUCUUCUGCUGCACUUACCCUGAGGACUGGGGCUGAUCAUGCUGAGAUUUGGGCAGCACCUCAUCAAGCCCUCGGUGGUGUUCCUGAGGACGGAGCUGUGCUUUGCCCUGGUGAACCGCAGGCCGGUGGUGCCAGGACGUAUCCUUUCCACAGCCGAUCCUGGGAAAAGCAGCACACGCUCGGGGAGCUUGGAAGGCCAGGUAGGAUGGAAUAAUAUUCCUGGUUUAUUCCAAAAACCAGGCAGUGAUGCUUGAUCAGAAGAUGCUUG